rnacentral:rRNA from 1 species
GACGAACGCUGGCGGCGUGCUUAACACAUGCAAGUCGAACGGAAAGGCCCUGCUUUUGUGGGGUGCUCGAGUGGCGAACGGGUGAGUAACACGUGAGUAACCUGCCCUUGACUUUGGGAUAACUUCAGGAAACUGGGGCUAAUACCGGAUAGGAGCUCCUGCUGCAUGGUGGGGGUUGGAAAGUUUCGGCGGUUGGGGAUGGACUCGCGGCUUAUCAGCUUGUUGGUGGGGUAGUGGCUUACCAAGGCUUUGACGGGUAGCCGGCCUGAGAGGGUGACCGGCCACAUUGGGACUGGGAUACGGCCCAGACUCCUACGGGAGGCAGCAGUGGGGAAUAUUGCACAAUGGGCGGAAGCCUGAUGCAGCCACGCCGCGUGCGGGAUGACGGCCUUCGGGUUGUAAACCGCUUUCGCCUGUGACGAAGCGUGAGUGACGGUAAUGGGUAAAGAAGCACCGGCUAACUACGUG